rnacentral:rRNA from 1 species
AGGAAUAUUGGACAAUGGGCGGAAGCCUGAUCCAGCCAUGCCGCGUGCAGGAAGACGGCCCUAUGGGUUGUAAACUGCUUUUAUACGGGAAGAAUAAUCGCCACGUGUGGUGAGAUGACGGUACCGUAAGAAUAAGGACCGGCUAACUCCGUGCCAGCAGCCGCGGUAAUACGGAGGGUCCGAGCGUUAUCCGGAAUUAUUGGGUUUAAAGGGUCCGCAGGCGGGCAAUUAAGUCAGGGGUGAAAUGCUGUGGAUCAACCAUAGCACUGCCCUUGAUACUGGUUGUCUUGAGUUGUGGUGAAGUGGCCGGAAUAUGUAGUGUAGCGGUGAAA